GCAUCUUGGGGGUUGUUUUGAUUGGUUUGUUUCCGGUGGUUGGCUCUCUGCUUGCGCAACAACUUCCACCUGGCAUACCUCUUCAGUUACACGUCAAGGUCUUAUUGCCUUGCGUACCUUGUGGGUUUACUGUGUUGCAUACCUAUGUGACGGUAUUGUUUGGUUCUAUCAAAGUCAGUUUCGUCUUUCGUCAUGCUUGUGGCGUGGGAUGAACCAAAAAGCGGUCUCUUUGGUCUACCUUGUUAACACAUACGUGUUGAUGUUGUAGCCCAUUGAGCUUUGCUUGGUUUUGUGGAUACGGAACAUGGCCUGGGCAUGGGGUCUUUCGUGAUCCUUGUUUUGUCCAAAUUGAACGUUUUCGUUUCUCUAAGACGACUGCCUAGCCCGAAUUGGCUCGUACCACCGGGUAGGAUAUGUUGCUGAAGAGGGACGUUAGCGUUCUUGCUUCUCAUUAAACGACGGCCUAGCCCGUAUUGGCUCGUACCAGCGGGUUGGUGAUGUCGAAGAGGGAUGCUACCUGGUUGAUCCUGCCAGUAGUCAUAUGCUUGUCUCAA
rnacentral:misc_RNA from 1 species